rnacentral:rRNA from 1 species
AAGAUCAACUCUUACUUAACUUACACAUGCAAGUCUCAGCACCCCCGUGAGAACGCCCUUCGGCUCCUCUAAGGAGCAAGGAGCUGGUAUCAGGCACAUAUUAAGCCCAAGACACCUAGCCAUGCCACACCCCCAAGGGAAUUCAGCAGUGAUUAACAUUAAACAUAAGCGACAGCUUGAUUCAGUUAAAGAAAAGAGAGCCGGCAAAUCUGGUGCCAGCCGCCGCGGUUACACCACGAGGCUCAAGUUGACCUUGCUCGGCGUAAAGCGUGAUUUAAGAGAUUUCCCCUGGUGUUAAAAAAGAACUAAGCCGUGACACGCUUGCCCCCUAAGAAGACCAAAACGAAAGUUACACCAUUCAUGUCAACUUGA